rnacentral:rRNA from 1 species
GAUGAACGCUGGCGGCGUGCUUAACACAUGCAAGUCGAACGAUGAAGCCCAGCUUGCUGGGUGGAUUAGUGGCGAACGGGUGAGUAACACGUGAGUAACCUGCCCUUAACUCUGGGAUAAGCCUGGGAAACUGGGUCUAAUACCGGAUAGGAGCGUCCACCGCAUGGUGGGUGUUGGAAAGAUUUAUCGGUUUUGGAUGGACUCGCGGCCUAUCAGCUUGUUGGUGAGGUAAUGGCUCACCAAGGCGACGACGGGUAGCCGGCCUGAGAGGGUGACCGGCCACACGGGGACUGAAACACGGCCCAGACUCCUACGGGGGGAAGCGGUGGGGAAUAUUGCACAAUGGGCGCAAGCCUGAUGCAGCGACGCCGCGGGGGGGAUGACGGCCUUCGGGUUGUAAACCUCUUUCAGGAGGGAAGAAGCGAAAGUGACGGUACCUGCAGAAGAAGCACCGGCAAACUACG